GAUUACUGCGAUCAUCUACAGGAUAAUCUAGUAACCUUAGAGGUAUUUUUUUAUUUCUCAUGAUUUUAGAUUUAAUUUUAUAUUUAAUAUCAGAUAAUAAGAAUUAGAUCUAAUAGAUUUUAGAUCUGAAAUAAUCAUAGAAUAUUUUUUUUGUAAUAUUCCACCCCAGAUUUGAUUAGAUCUGGAAGAUCCUACAAGGAAAAAGCCAGUUUUUUCCUUCAUUUAUAAGCUUAAUUACUUAUUCCAAAUCUAAUUCUUUUGUUGUUUGAUCUCAUAGAUUCAAUUCUAUCUGAUAGUGAGAUAUAUAAUGAUCUCUAUCAUUAUAUUAUUGAAACUCUUUUCAAU
rnacentral:lncRNA from 1 species